UUUAGGGGUUGCUCCCCAAAACUUUCUGGGAGCAACAAAAGUGUUGUGCUAUCAGCAGAUAUUUAUUUAGCAUCUAAGAUGUGCCAAGCUCUGUACAUGUGACAAGAGUCAGCAAGACAGACACAAACGCUGCCCUUGUGGGUCUUAAAAUAAAAGAGACAAGGCAAGCAAUCCCAAUGAACUGUGAUGUAAUAAUUAUGGGGGAAGCCCCCUGAUCCUGCCAGAAGGUUCAGGAAAGCCUCCCAGAUUGGAGAUGUGAAGGAUGAGGAAAAUUUGUCAGGCAGAGUGAUGACAAGAGGAUUCCUGGCAGGGGGAACAGUAUAUGCAAAGUAUGGAGGAAUGUUCAUAAAACCCAAGUUUCUGGCUUCUCUUGAAAACCUGAACCAUCUGCUUAAAUCCACUGCAGCAAAGGCCCUCAAGCACCCUUGAAGGCGUGACCAGCAUCUUCUACCCCAGCUCCAACUGUCAGACCAGCUGGAGGGUGACCUCAAGCACCCACACUCCAAACAGCUGACUGGACAAGUCAAUCGACCAUAAUGGUUCCCGGGGAGCCACUUACCCCGUCGAGUUUGAGCGACGGCGGCUCAGAGUCUUAAGCGCUGCUCGGCUCCCGGCGUCUGGGGCAGACAACCAGCUCAGGCCAAAGAGAACAGUUCGCCAACCUUGAUGGCAGACCUAGAUGGGUCUCUAAAGAGUCUACAGAGAAGCCACCCCUGAGAAAGUCAUGAGGUCGAAAAAUACCAGCCUUAAAGAGGAGGAAGCAUAUUUGCACACUCAAGGGUAGUGGAAGCGUCUUCAGGUGUUUGAGGUGAGACCAACUGAAAAGGAGCCAGCUACGGGAAGACCGGGAGAAAAAGAGGCCCAGGCAGAGGGAACUGCAAGCGCAAAGUCUCUGAGGUAAGAAUGUGCUUGACGAGUCUGAGGGACCAAAAGACCACUGUGACUAGAACAGAGCAAGUACAGGAGAGACGCUGGAGAUGAAGUCAGAAGGAUGACGGCGGGGAGGUGGAGGGCUCGCCUACCCGGAGUCUUACAAUCAGGGGAGAGGACUCGGGAUUUUUAAAUUAAGUAUGAUAGGAAUUGAUUGUUCAUAUCCUACAAAACUCUACAAACCAUUUUCUGAAGGGAUCCUCAAGGCUUAGAAACCAAGAACUCCAUUCCAGACAUGAUUUUUUUUGUCUCAAAAUUCUGCUUAAGAGGCCAAUGGCUCCUCAUCACUGCCAAAAUGGGCCCCGAGGUCAUGAAAAGGCAAUACAUUUAACUAGCACACAAAGUAUGUCAGCAUCCUUCCCUUCACAGCAACUGGAGCAAACCAGAUGAGCACAACCAGUCUAUGUGAUGGAUUAAGAAAUGGGAGACUUGGAAUGUUAGGGGAUUCACCCAGGAGUGCUAGAGACUGUACUUCUUAGCUGCUGAUGGGGCCUUCCCCUCUGCCUACUACUUCCACCUUCCCUGGCACCUUUGAUAUAAACCACUGUCAUUAAGAAAGAGCAUUCCCCCAGACAGAAAAAUCAAACAGAAGACCGAACUCUGAUUUCCUAAGCCAGAAACAAAGGCAGGCCACUACCUCAGUCCCCUUCCCACACUCAACCUCUGCCAGGCUCAGUCUGAGUUAGAUAACAGGAUGCCACCAGAAAUUCAGCCCUUUCAGAAAGCAACAGAGAAAACCAUAGUUUUUGUACAGCCACCUCCACCAUCAUCCAGGAUCAAAUUUAGCACCAGCUGGGGUGCUCACGUUUGAAAUUCUAUCUGACGGAAGAAAGGUUACCACAACAGAAUGUCAAGUUCGAAGACAGAAUCCUCCCUUUAACAGAAGAGUUUAAAAAAAGAAGAAAGAAAUAAAGAAAAAGGAAAGAAAAAAAAGCACCACCACCAUCAGAAAAGCUGUUCCCUCUGGUCAAAAUAGCACCGUGCUCAUCUGAAAUAACCCACCGAGACGCUUAUUUGCUUCUUUAGGCUUGUCCGUGGUUUCUCAAUUUUCUACAGCGAAUUCAGGUAUUAAUAAAAGAAACUUCGAGACCUCCAACAGCAAAAGCGGUCAAGGAUGAGACGUUGCUCAUUUUUCUUCCAGCAUUCAAAGAGAGGCCCAUCUUUGGGAAGCAAUUUCUGUCGAGUUGAGAAAUUCAGAAUUUUGGGAUGCCCAGAAAAGACUGCUGGGUUCUUUAUAUAAAUUCUCAACACCUGUUUCUAGCUCCUUCUGCAAAAUAGGCUCACAGGGUGUGGCUUGCAAUGAACUGGAGAGGCAGAUGGAAUGGGGUCACCCACUGGCUGGACUUGGAAGGGUCCAGGGGGCUGGUCAAUGGUUUGGUCGUAUUCAUAGAGCUGCUGCUAGAAAUCUCCCCUCAUCCCUUCUGUCUCCCGCAGCUCCCUCUCCUCCCGCUCCCACCUCCCACAGCCUUCGCCCUAAUGCCAGUCCAGCUCAUGGGCCUGGGCCUGGGCCGCACCAAGCCUGGCCUGCUCAUGCUCCCCACCCCAGCAGCAAUUCUAUUACAGCGAAGUUUCCAAAGUUAGGAUUCCGCCAACAGAGCUGAUAGCUUAUUUACUGCUGUCAUCUAAAGAAAGAGGAAUUUUGACACAUUGUUAAAUGAUAGCACAUUUAGAUAAGUCAAGCUGUCAGAGGCUCUAAUGGAUGUCUAAACUCUCUGUGGCUGAUAUGUAAAAUUUAUGCACUUCAGAAUAUCAUAAGGUUAUAAUAUUUUAAUCACAUCCACGCUCUUUUCUAAACUUUGAGCUGAGAAAAACAUUCCAUCAAGUCCCAUCUCCCGUACGCCAAGAAAUUGAGCCUUCCUAGAAGUUUCUCCAAAACUCCUUACAAAAAGUCCAGCUUAUCUCGUUUGAGGACCCAUCAGUUUUCCUCCCUAAAGGCUUGUGCCCCAAGCAGAAUUUGCCUUUUCCACCCAAGUUUGUGCAGUGUGAUCCCUCCAGCCAACCUCUUUCCUCCCAAGAAACAGAUGUGCAUUCAGACUGAGCACCAACUCUUGUUAGCUUGAUUAACACUCUUUGAAGGAAAAAAUAUAUAUAUAUAUCACAAGA